AGAGAAGCUUGCUUCUCGGAUCAGUGGCGGACGGGUGAGUAACACGUGAGCAACCUGCCUUUAAGAGGGGGAUAACGUUUGGAAACGAACGCUAAUACCGCAUAAUAUAGAAGAUCCGCAUGUUUCUUCUAUCAAAGAUUUAUCGCUUAAAGAUGGGCUCGCGUCUGAUUAGCUGGUUGGUGAGGUAACGGCUCACCAAGGCGACGAUCAGUAGCCGUACUGAGAGGUAGAACGGCCACAUUGGGACUGAGACACGGCCCAGACUCCUACGGGAGGCAGCAGUGGGGAAUAUUGCACAAUGGAGGAAACUCUGAUGCAGCGAUGCCGCGUGAGGGAAGAAGGUUUUCGGAUUGUAAACCUCUGUCUUCAGGGACGAUAAUGACGGUACCUGAGGAGGAAGCUCCGGCUAACUACGUGCCAGCAGCCGCGGUAAUACGUAGGGAGCGAGCGUUGUCCGGAAUUACUGGGUGUAAAGGGAGCGUAGGCGGGAUCUUAAGUCAGGUGUGAAA
rnacentral:rRNA from 1 species